rnacentral:rRNA from 1 species
CAAAUGAUGGAAUUCUAAUGACCCGGUUGCGUUAGCUUUGCCGAGCGCCCCUUGAGGUGCUAGGCGGGACGGUUGUGCUGCCCCUUGUUUCACCAUGCUCUUCCCUUUUUGGGAACCAAGGAAAAUUUGGKGGUGUUGCUUGUUGCCUCGGAUGCSGAGCGCGAAGCGAGCMUGAUGCCUGUCAUCAUUCGCUCAUUCGGAGCUCUCGAUUGCUCGSAAAGAGAGAUUGCCGGCUGGGUUUUGGCUUUCSACUCGUCGAACCAGCUCAAAACCUCGCCGUCAUCUUCAAUGAAUGCUACCUGGUUGAUCCUGCCASUAGUCAUAUGCUUGUCUCAAAGAUUAAGCCAUGCAUGUGUAAGUA